UAAUUUGAUGAUCCGCAAAAAACCUUACCACAACUUGAAUAUUUAUAUUUAACUAUAUUUACAAGCGUUGCACGGCUGUCUUGAGUUAAUGUCGUGAGACUUUGGUUAGAUCCAUUAAAUUGACGUAAACCCUUGUUCUACUUUUAUGUGGAGCGGUUCACCGCUAUAUUGGAUGUGAUAAUAGGGAAAAAGACAAGUCAUCAUGGCCUAAAUGUUGU
rnacentral:rRNA from 1 species